GCCCAGGUGGCGGAAUUGGUAGACGCACUACCUUGAGGUGGUAGCGGCGAGAGCUGUGGGGGUUCGAGUCCCCCCUUGGGCA
rnacentral:tRNA from 2 species